AACGAACGCUGGCGGCGUGUCUUAAGCAUGCAAGUCGAGCGGCAAGGAAGUGCUUGCACUUCCCCAGAGCGGCGGACUGGUGAGUAACGCGUGGGUGAUCUACCUCGGGGUUGGGGAUAGCCAUUAGAAAUAGUGGGUAAUACCGAAUACGCUUCCAGGGCUACGGCCGUGGAAGGAAAGGCGCUACGGCGCCGACCUGAGAUGAGCCCGCGUCCCAUUAGCUAGUUGGUGAGGUAACGGCCCACCAAGGCGAUGAUGGGUAGGCGGCCUGAGAGGGUGUACGCCCACAUUGGGACUGAGAUACGGCCCAAACUCCUACGGGAGGCAGCAGCUAAGAAUAUUCCGCAAUGGACGAAAGUCUGACGGAGCGACGCCGCGUGGAUGAUGAAGGCCGGAAGGUUGUAAAUCCUUUUGUCGGGGAAGAAUAAGCGUGGGAGGGAAUGCCCGCGUGAUGACAUGAACCGGCGAAUAAGCCCCGGCUAACUACGUGCCAGCAGCCGCGGUAAAU
rnacentral:rRNA from 1 species